rnacentral:tRNA from 1 species
UUAUUUUUAAAUUUAAUAAUAAAGAUAUUAUUAUUAAUUUAUAUAUUUUAAUAAAUUUAAAAUAAAUAUCUAAAUUUUUAAGUAUAUCAUUUACAAUGAUAAGAUGUUUUUUUAACUUUAUUUAAAUUUUUUUAAUU